GAUGAACGCUGGCGGCGUGCUUAACACAUGCAAGUCGAACGAAGCUGUUGUUUGGAGACCUUCGGGUGGAAGAAUGACAGACUGAGUGGCGGACGGGUGAGUAACGCGUGGGUAACCUACCUUGCACAGGGGGACAACAGUUGGAAACGACUGCUAAUACCGCAUAAGACCACAGUACCGCAUGGUACAGGGGCAAAAACUGAGGUGGUGCAAGAUGGACCCGCGUCUGAUUAGCUAGUUGGUGGGGUAAAGGCCUACCAAGGCGACGAUCAGUAGCCGACCUGAGAGGGUGAUCGGCCACAUUGGGACUGAGACACGGCCCAAACUCCUACGGGAGGCAGCAGUGGGGAAUAUUGGACAAUGGGGGGAACCCUGAUCCAGCGACGCCGCGUGAGUGAAGAAGUAUUUCGGUAUGUAAAGCUCUAUCAGCAGGGAAGAAAAUGACGGUACCUGACUAAGAAGC
rnacentral:rRNA from 1 species